GGCGGGGUGCCGGAGCGGUUGAACGGGACGGUCUUGAAAACCGUUGGGCGUGCAAGCGUCCCGUGGGUUCGAAUCCCACCCCCGCCG
rnacentral:tRNA from 1 species